AAUCAACUGGCAUAAGUGUUGAACCUAAGAAAGCCAGGCUAACUGAAGAUUUAAAUGCAAACAAAGCAGGUUUAAUAAUUACAACCAACAGGAAAAGCCAAACUCACGCCACAUCUCCAUUUCAAGCCACCUCCUGAAGCAGCGAAGACUCAGGCUCUACUAUUACUUUUUCCAUCAUGCUUUGCUCUUGAUGGCAUUGGGCUUUAUCAUAAAACAUUAGAGGAUUCCAGGACUGAGCAGCUCCAGGAUUCCAUGACCCCGGAACCCAGCCGCUGCAGGAGUGUCUCCAAGGCAACAAGAGAAGGUUGGUGUCAGAGGGAGGUGCUGCAGCCCAGCUGCACCCACUGUUCAGAGGCGCCUGCUGGAAGGAUCUGCCAUGGCAAUCUUCUGGGUGCUCCUUUUGCUGAUGGCAUCUGUCGACAUCAACCAGCUGCUCUUUGAAGGGAAGGAAACUGUUCAUGAGAAGGAAAGAAGGCAAGAAAUCCUUCAGAAGUUGAAGGAGCAGAAGGCGAGCCUUCAGCUGCUGUACUCAAGCUUGAAGAAGGAAACUGCAAACCUGGAAGCCAGGAAAGGGGCUGUGGCAAAACCUGCAUUGGCACUGGAGAUGAAGAUGCAACAGUGCAUAUACAAAGUCCUUUUCUUGGCUGCCAUCACGCUGUUCAAGCUCUGGGGAUAGCAUUUGCAGGAAGUCACUUGUCAGCACAGUGCAGGAGAAGAGACUGACACAGUAUUCCUGGGGAAAGUGUGGAAAGGAAUGGCCUUCCCUGACAACACUCUGUGCUAACUAGGUGAAUUCACAUCCACAUGGACAGAACUGUAGCAAAUGCUUGUUUAGUUCCAAGGAGGUUGGUUCCAUUACUUUUAAAAUUACUUUGGUCCACUAACAAAAAUUUGGUGCUUUAAUGUAUUAAGAAUUCUCUCUUUUUGUAUCAAUUGUUAUAAAACCUAAGGUUCUGUUAAUGAAUAAAAUGGAUUAAAGCAAAGGAAUAAGCUUAUCAGAA